AAUUGAUUUAACACGUCUCAAAAUCAAAAAAAAUAAAAAAUAAAAAGUUUUUAAAAAAAAUGUCCUGACGUUGCCAUGGAGACGGUACUGUCUGGAGACGGUAGUGGAGCGGCACAACACGAGGAAACUGUAGAGAUCAAAGCCGGGUCAAAGAGGCCAUCUUGGUCGAAGCCGCCAUCUUGGUCAAAGCGGCCAUCUUGGUCAAAGCGGCCAUCUUGGUCAAAGCGGCCAUCUUGGUCGAAGCGGCCAUCUUGGUCGAAGGAAAACAUUUUGGCAGUUUUUGGUUUUUACUGGAUUCCCGAGAGGAAACCGUGGAUCUGAGCCUCCCCGUGUUCACGGUUCACCAGAUGAAGAUGAGAACUUCAGCAGCGCUCAGUGAUUCUGCAAGCUGAGACCUGCCUUCACUUUGCUGCUGCUGGUGAACCUGAAACUCCCUCUGAGAAAACAAACUUCUUCUUCCUCACGUCUGAAACUGGAACUUUUCUGCUGUGAUGUCACACUUUAGUUUUUCUGUUUACAUUUUUCACUGUUCUUAAAGAAACAGGCACAUUGCAGUGUGACGUCACGCCAUUCAGCUCCCUCUGGAGUCAAAACAGCAGCAUGAGUUUUAGCUGCCAAGUUAUCAACAGAACAGGCUAAAUCUUAAACGUACGCCUGAUAUGAAUGAAAAAGGGACGCAGUGAUUUGCUACACCACAACAACGAGAUAAACCGGUCAGUAAAAGUUUAAUUAUGAAGAAGAGCGCGGUAGUUCAGCUAUGCUAGCUUGACUAUGACAAACAUAGCAUGUAGACGUGCUGCGGGAUCCUGUCUGUUGUGCUUCAGUUAGAAAACAAAAACGGCGACCUGAAUGCAGAUCAUCAGUUUAUAUUAGCUAAUCAACCACUGCUGUGUUAGCUUAGCUAAUAGCAGCGGUAUCUAAUAAUGAUCGAAAAAUAGACCUGAAACUGUAAUGGACUGAAUGUUCUGGUCUCUGUGUGGGAAAUGCUCUUGGUGUUGAAUCCUGAAACAUGCCGUGGCGUUGUCGACUGUUGCUGUGGCGCAAAAUGUCCGGAUGUAAACAAUGACAUGUAUAAAAAUAAAACUGAGAUUCUG